CACUAAGAAGCUAAAAGAGGAUAGCGUUAGCCUUUUAAGCUAAAGAUUGGUGAUUCCAACCACCCCUAGUGA
rnacentral:tRNA from 1 species